rnacentral:rRNA from 1 species
AUUGAACGCUGGCGGCAUGCUUUACACAUGCAAGUCGAACGGUAACAGGCCGCAAGGUGCUGACGAGUGGCGAACGGGUGAGUAAUGCAUCGGAACGUGCCCAGUCGUGGGGGAUAACGCAGCGAAAGCUGUGCUAAUACCGCAUACGAACUGUGGAUGAAAGCGGGGGACCGUAAGGCCUCGCGCGAUUGGAGCGGCCGAUGUCAGAUUAGGUAGUUGGUGGGGUAAAGGCUCACCAAGCCGACGAUCUGUAGCUGGUCUGAGAGGACGACCAGACACACUGGGACUGAGACACGGCCCAGACGCCGACGGGAGGCAGCAGUGGGGAAUUUUGGACAAUGGGCGCGAGCCUGAUCCAGCAAUGCCGCGUGCAGGAAGAAGGCCUUCGGGUUGUAAACUGCUUUUGUACGGAGCGAAAAGGCUCUCUCUAAUACAGGGGGCUCAUGACGGUACCGUAAGAAUAAGCACCGGCUAACUACGUGCCAGCAGCCGCCGUAACAC